UACGUAGGCAGCGCGCGUUGUUCGGAGUUACUGGGCGUAAAGCGUGCGUAGACGGUAGCGUAAGUCAGAUGUGAAAGCCCCGGGCUCAACCUGGGAACUGCAUUUGAGACUGCUCUGCUCGGGUGCGGAAGAGGGAAGCGGAAUUUCCGGUGUAGCGGUGAAAUGCGUAGAUAUCGGAAGGAACACCAGUGGCGAAAGCGGCUUCCUGGUCCGACACCGACGUUCAGGCACGAAAGCGUGGGGAGCAAACAGG
rnacentral:rRNA from 1 species